GAUGAACGCUGGCGGCGUGCCUAAUACAUGCAAGUCGAGCGAACAGACGAGGAGCUUGCUCCUCUGACGUUAGCGGCGGACGGGUGAGUAACACGUGGAUAACCUACCUAUAAGACUGGGAUAACUUCGGGAAACCGGAGCUAAUACCGGAUAAUAUAUUGAACCGCAUGGUUCAAUAGUGAAAGACGGUUUUGCUGUCACUUAUAGAUGGAUCCGCGCCGCAUUAGCUAGUUGGUAAGGUAACGGCUUACCAAGGCAACGAUGCGUAGCCGACCUGAGAGGGUGAUCAGCCACUCUGGAACUGAGACACGGUCCAGACUCCUACGGGAGGCAGCAGUAGGGAAUCUUCCGCAAGGGGCGAAAGCCUGACGGAGCAACGCCGCGUGAGUGAUGAAGGUCUUCGGAUCGUAAAACUCUGUUAUUAGGGAAGAACAAAUGUGUAAGUAACGAUGCACGUCUUGACGGUACCUAAUCAGAAAGCCACGGCUAACUACGU
rnacentral:rRNA from 1 species